CCUACGGGUGGCAGCAGUGGGGAAUAUUGCGCAAUGGGCGAAAGCCUGACGCAGCGACGCCGCGUGAGGGAUGAAGGUCUUCGGAUCGUAAACCUCUUUCAGCAGGGAAGAACGGUCACUGUGCUAAUCAGCAGUGAAUUGACGGUACCUGCAAAGGAAGCGCCGGCUAACUCCGUGCCAGCAGCUGCGUUACUACGGAGGGUGGGCGCGUUAAUCGGAAUUACUGGGCGUAAAGCCCUCGUAGGCGGUAUGUCAAGUCACGGGUGAAAUCCCCGCGCUCAACGUGGGAACUGCCUUUGAAACUGGCAAACUGGAGUGUGGGAGAGGAUAGUGGAAUUCCAGGUGUAGGAGUGAAAUGCGUAGAUAUCUGGAGGAACAUCAGUGGCGAAGGCGACUAUCUGGCACAUAACUGACGCUGAGGAGCGAAAGCGUGGGUAGCAAACAGGAUUAGAUACCCUGGUAGUC
rnacentral:rRNA from 1 species